CCGGCGAAGGCCGCACGAGGCGGUGGGAAUCCGGCGGGCCCCGAGGCGGGUUGGGGGGACCCGUCUGGCCCGGGAACCAGCACCGUCAGCCUUCGCAGGUCCGGGCCAGACUCUUACAGAGUCUAGAUCGCAGGAGCAUUAGGAGUUCCGGAAGAGGGUUUAGGACUUCUGCCUGCGUCUCAGGUGUGAGCCCUGGCUCCGGCCUUACUCGUGUUUCCCCGCGAGGACGGCUUUUCUCAGUCAUUCUUGAAGGUGGUGGGGUUUGGGCCAUAUUAUUUUAUUUUUGAGGGUCCACUCUGUGUAAGCAUGGGUUUGCCUGCGCGGGGCGCCGUGCAGAGCGCCAUGAAGGAGACGCUGGGAGAAGGAGUGUUUAGAGAUGCUUGCGGUAUGGUCCUUACCUACGUGAAGCGUAGGAGGUGAACCCAAGCUUUUUUGGAAGCGAGCACACCCCCGGGUAAGACGAGGGAGUGAAAUGCCGCGAUGCGAUGAUGAGUGAAGCGCAGUCUGACCUGGUAUUGCCGCUCCUCGUUGCCGGCUCUGACCGGGGCGUGAUCGCUUAAUCUUCUCUCUGAGCUGAUUCUUGUUGUGGGUUUCCCACAUUGCUAGGUUCUAGCCUAUUUGGGUGGAGCUGAAAACUCUGGCUUUGACACCUUCAUGGAUACUAUGUUACUUCAAUCCUAAAUCUGGUUCAGUCCCCUUACUGACUUAUUAAAAAUGUUUUUUU